rnacentral:other from 2 species
CAUCCCCUGCGGUGUUCGUGACGGCUCAAAAAUUCCUUUGAACCAAUGCGUUCGCUUUGGUUGCCAGCAUCUACCGUGCGGGUGCGCGCGUCCCACUGACGGAUGUGCCCGAUGCACGAGGCAGGCGACCCCCUGGAAACAGGGUUCAAGCGAAUUUUGCCCGAACGGCACUCGCGGGGGGCUC